CAAAUCCAAAAUGAAUGCAACAAUAAAACUGAAGGAAAUAAGUCCUUCGCAUGCAUUAUUUGUAAGUAUAUAUUUCCUGCUUCUGUGAUUCCACAAAAGAAAACUAGGUUCAUAUUGUAGUCCUUCGCAUGCAUUAUUUGUAAGUAUAUAUUUCCUGCUUCUGUGAUUCCACAAAAGAAAACUAGGUUCAUAUUGUACUUUAUGUUAGAAAAACAUGAUCCUGCUAAGAGAUACUGUAAUGUCCAUGAGAGAGUAUAAGGAACCCUAUCUUAUUUAUAAGGAUAGUCUAUCCAAGAAAGUUUGUGUACUGAAAACUGAAAAGUUUGUGUAGCUAUGAAUUCAGAUGACAGGACCAAAAAAAAAAACUAAAGAAAGAACUAAAUGCUUCAGAUGGUCCAAUCAAAAGAGAACAGAUUCAUCUUUAUAUUAUGGUUAGGAAUCCUUGUUGUUUUACAAAUACUCAACGGACCCACAACAU
rnacentral:lncRNA from 1 species